rnacentral:rRNA from 1 species
UAAUUUGGAGAGGGCAACUUUGGGGCCGUUCCUUGUCUAUGUUCCUUGGAACAGGACGUCGUAGAGGGUGAGAAUCCCGUGUGGCGAGGAGUGCGGUUCUUUGUAAAGUGCCUUCGAAGAGUCGAGUUGUUUGGGAAUGCAGCUCUAAGUGGGUGGUAAAUUCCAUCUAAAGCUAAAUAUUGGCGAGAGACCGAUAGCGAACAAGUACAGUGAUGGAAAGAUGAAAAGAACUUUGAAAAGAGAGUGAAAAAGUACGUGAAAUUGUUGAAAGGGAAGGGCAUUUGAUCAGACAUGGUGUUUUGUGCCCUCUGCUCCUUGUGGGUAGGGGAAUCUCGCAUUUCACUGGGCCAGCAUCAGUUUUGGUGGCAGGAUAAAUCCAUAGGAAUGUAGCUUGCCUCGGUAAGUAUUAUAGCCUGUGGGAAUACUGCCAGCUGGGACUGAGGACUGCGACGUAAGUCAAGGAUGCUGGCAUAAUGGUUAUAUGCCGCCCG